CAGCGCCUGCUGCAUGACGGUCAAGGCUGUCAUGCCCGCGCGCUUCAUGAAUCUGGUCGAGCCGCUGGGCGCCCGCGUGGCGGGGCCCACCGACAGGCGCACCACGGAUACCGCCGCGCAGCAUUGCGCGGGCCGGUCCGGCGCAGUCUCCCCGCUGAUCGGCGAGAGCCUUCGGCGGGGCGACGUGGAUAGCUCGGCACACCG
rnacentral:sRNA from 19 species